rnacentral:lncRNA from 1 species
AUCACUCUAAAUGCAUCAGUGCUUCAAUCCUGUUGGGGGACCUGUGUAACUUUAAUCUCGCGAUUUCAGUUUCAUGCGAAGCAACACUGCCUAAAAACUGUUGAAUUUACUAGCGUAAUUCUUCGAGCGAUCUUUCAGCGCAGCAAGUAAUAGAAAUCCCUGGCAAACAAAAUACGCCCUUUCCUGCUCUGCACGAAGAUUGGCAGGACGUUAGGUAUCCAGUACCACAAGAAGAGACAACAACUAAUCUUGCUGAAUCGGAAUAUCGGAUAUUUCAUCAGAACACCCCACCAACUUUUUUGCAUUGCAGCCACCCGUUAUGCGCCCCUAUUUUUUUCCAAAUCCCACAAACUUUUUGGCAAUCAAGAGCACGACGUACCUCGCCGGAGCUUCUGACCCACUCCGGCAGCU